rnacentral:rRNA from 1 species
AUGGUCUCAGAGGCGCAUAACAACCGUGCGGAGUACGACAAGUCUUUGCAUGAAGCGCGCCGGGAGAUUGACUUGAAGGUGCAAAAGGAUCACGAUGAGGUAGAUAAGAAACUGAAAAAAGAACGUUCAUAUGUGGACAGGAUGAUAAAGGAGGAGCGUGAGGAGUUUUCCCGUAAGAUGGCGAAGAUGCGUCUUGAGAUUGAAGAAAAGUAUAAGCGGGACUGUGAGUACAUGGAAAAAAAGUUUGUCCUUGGCUACAAGGAAAUGCAUCAAACGUUGCAGAAGGACCGGAAGCUUGUGGACAGUAUUUAA